rnacentral:lncRNA from 12 species
AUGCGCGGGGUCUCUGCUAUCUCUGCAGCUCCCUGGUGUGCGGGGUCUCUGCUAUCUCUGCAGCUCCCUGGUGCGCGGGGUCUCUGCUAUCUCUGCAGCUCCCGGGUGCGCGGGGUCUCUGCUAUCUCUGCAGCUCCCUGGUGCGCGGGGUCUCUGCUAUCUCUGCAGCUCCCUGGUGUGCGGGGUCUCUGCUAUCUCUGCAGCUCCCGGGUGCGCGGGGUCUCUGCUAUCUCUGCAGCUCCCUGGUGCGCGGGGUCUCUGCUAUCUCUGCAGCUCCCGGGUGCGCGGGGUCUCUGCUAUCUCUGCAGCUCCCUGGUGUGCGGGGUCUCUGCUAUCUCUGCAGCUCCCUGGUGCGCGGGGUCUCUGCUAUCUCUGCAGCUCCCGGGUGCGCGGGGUCUCUGCUAUCUCUGCAGCUCCCGGGUGCGCGGGGUCUCUGCUAUCUCUGCAGCUCCCGGGUGCGCGGGGUCUCUGCUAUCUCUGCAGCUCCCUGGUGUGCGGGGUCUCUGCUAUCUCUGCAGCUCCCUGGUGCGCGGGGUCUCUGCUAUCUCUGCAGCUCCCGGGUGCGCGGGGUCUCUGCUAUCUCUGCAGCUCCCUGGUGUGCGGGGUCUCUGCUAUCUCUGCAGCUCCCGGGUGCGCGGGGUCUCUGCUAUCUCUGCAGCUCCCGGGUGCGCGGGGUCUCUGCUAUCUCUGCAGCUCCCGGGUGCGCGGGGUCUCUGCUAUCUCUGCAGCUCCCGGGUGCGCGGGGUCUCUGCUAUCUCUGCAGCUCCCGGGUGCGCGGGGUCUCUGCUAUCUCUGCAGCUCCCUGGUGCGCGGGGUCUCUGCUAUCUCUGCAGCUCCCUGGUGCGCGGGGUCUCUGCUAUCUCUGCAGCUCCCUGGUGCGCGGGGUCUCUGCUAUCUCUGCAGCUCCCUGGUGCGCGGGGUCUCUGCUAUCUCUGCAGCUCCCGGGUGCGCGGGGUCUCUGCUAUCUCUGCAGCUCCCUGGUGCGCGGGGUCUCUGCUAUCUCUGCAGCUCCCGGGUGCGCGGGGUCUCUGCUAUCUCUGCAGCUCCCUGGUGCGCGGGGUCUCUGCUAUCUCUGCAGCUCCCUGGUGCGCGGGGUCUCUGCUAUCUCUGCAGCUCCCUGGUGCGCGGGGUCUCUGCUAUCUCUGCAGCUCCCUGGUGCGCGGGGUCUCUGCUAUCUCUGCAGCUCCCUGGUGCGCGGGGUCUCUGCUAUCUCUGCAGCUCCCUGGUGCGCGGGGUCUCUGCUAUCUCUGCAGCUCCCGGGUGCGCGGGGUCUCUGCUAUCUCUGCAGCUCCCUGGUGCGCGGGGUCUCUGCUAUCUCUGCAGCUCCCGGGUGCGCGGGGUCUCUGCUAUCUCUGCAGCUCCCUGGUGCGCGGGGUCUCUGCUAUCUCUGCAGCUCCCUGGUGCGCGGGGUCUCUGCUAUCUCUGCAGCUCCCGGGUGCGCGGGGUCUCUGCUAUCUCUGCAGCUCCCUGGUGCGCGGGGUCUCUGCUAUCUCUGCAGCUCCCGGGUGCGCGGGGUCUCUGCUAUCUCUGCAGCUCCCGGGUGCGCGGGGUCUCUGCUAUCUCUGCAGCUCCCUGGUGCGCGGGGUCUCUGCUAUCUCUGCAGCUCCCGGGUGCGCGGGGUCUCUGCUAUCUCUGCAGCUCCCGGGUGCGCGGGGUCUCUGCUAUCUCUGCAGCUCCCGGGUGCGCGGGGUCUCUGCUAUCUCUGCAGCUCCCGGGUGCGCGGGGUCUCUGCUAUCUCUGCAGCUCCCUGGUGCGCGGGGUCUCUGCUAUCUCUGCAGCUCCCUGGUGCGCGGGGUCUCUGCUAUCUCUGCAGCUCCCUGGUGCGCGGGGUCUCUGCUAUCUCUGCAGCUCCCUGGUGCGCGGGGUCUCUGCUAUCUCUGCAGCUCCCGGGUGCGCAGGGUCUCUGCUAUCUCUGCAGCUCCCUGGUGCGCGGGGUCUCUGCUAUCUCUGCAGCUCCCGGGUGCGCGGGGUCUCUGCUAUCUCUGCAGCUUUCUGCAUGUCUACCGUUAUGGCCAAAUGAGAAGAAGAACAAUAAAGGGGGUUCGGGGGCGCCCCUCAUGCGCAAUCGGGGAGCCCUUCCCGACCUGGAGGCGGGGCGUGAGGGCUUGUGGACUAGAACCUUUGAUUCAGACCCUUGCCUCCCGCUCAGGUGACGUCACAGAGCCUCAGGCGCCCCACCCACCACCUGGGGUGCAUCCAUCAAGCCACCCCGUGACGACAUCCAUCCCAGGGCAGCGGGCGCACCCUUCCUGUGGGACAAGGGCACCCUCGCCACCGCCAUAG